rfam:Triticum urartu cultivar G1812 contig186542, whole genome shotgun sequence.
CUUGUACUUCCUCCGUCCGAAAAUACUUGUCAUUGAAAUGGAUGUAUCUAGAUGUAUUUUAGUUCAAGACAGAUCCAUUUUGAUGACAAGUAAUUCCGGACGGAGGGAGUACUUG